GGAAGAAUGUUUAGCGCAAGCUGAUUGCACAGUCUUUUUUUUAGGACAAGAUUAAGUUUAGAUAUCUAAUAUGUAGAGAUAAACGUAUAUAUAUUGGAUAUAGACUUAGUUGUGCAAGAUCGAUUGUGUCGAAUAAAGUUCUAGAUAGAGUUAUGAUAAUGACAUUUUCUAUCUAUGUGUCUUGACCAAAUCACGUGCCAGCAGUCGCGGUAAUACGUGGAAGACUAGUGUUAUUCAUCUUUAUUUGGUUUAAAGGGUACCUAGACUGCUAAUCAAGCCCCUAAAGGGUACUAAUUGGCUAGAGUUUUAUGUGAAAAGGGGUGUACUAAAGUGUGGAGAGAUGAAAUUCUGUGAUACCUUACUGGAACAGUCAACGGCGAAGGCGACCUUUUAUGUAAAAACUGACGUUGAAGGACGAAGGCUUAGGACACCAAUAGGAUUAGAUACCCUAGCAGUCUAAGCAGACAAUGAUGAAUGUCAUAGGCAAGAAUUUCAAUUUUGUCUAUAAAUGAAAGUGUAAGCAUUCCACCUCAAGAGUAACGCGGCAACGCCGGAACUGAAAUCAUUAGACCGUUUCUGAAACCAGUAGUGGAGUAUGUUGUUUAAUUUGAUCUUACGCAAAAAACCUUACCACAGUCUGAAUAGAUAUCUAAAUAUCAUACAAGCGCUGCACGGCUGUCUUCAGUUAAUGUCGUGAGAUUUUGGUUAGUUCCAUUAAAUUAACGUAAACCCUUACUUUAUUUUUUAUUAUGAAGUAGUUCACCGGCACAGCGGUCAUGAUAAUAGGGAUUAAGACAAGUCAAUAUGGCCUUAGCAUUGUGGGCUAUAGACGUGCUACAUAUACCUUUACAAAGGGAUGCGAAAUUGUGAGAUAGAG
rnacentral:rRNA from 1 species